UCUUGAUGCAUCACUUCCUUGUACCCUGAGAGACGUUGGGUCCGGUCGAGCAGAGUAUAUUGUGAAAACCCCUCCUUGGUUAAAUGAAGUGGUUUAUACAAACACUAGUUAUGGCUUUUUAUUUUUGUUUUUAGUGAUUUUUCAUUAUUAUUUAUUUGUUUGUUUACAGAAAGUUUUGCUAUUCAAAAUAUAAUUUAAAAUGUAAAAAAUAAAAAAUAAAAUAUGGAGAGUUGCGAAAAAAAUGUAGUCAAAUUAAUUUGCAAAAGGGAAGAAAGACAAGGAAAGAUAAAAACAAGAGGUUGGCAAGAGAAAAACUGAAAAUCUGAAUAUCGUAUAUCUCUUGCUGUAGAUCAGGAGUUUUCAGCAAUCCUGACUGAGUUGUGGAAGCUGGACGUGAACCGCGUGAAACCGGGAACAGACUACACCAUCAAUCUACAGCCAGAUGUGAACAAUCAUGUCAUUAGCCUGCAGUUUAGCUGGAAAAGCCUGGUGAAGCCACUGGGAAGCUCCUCCAUUGGAGUCAGCCCUGAGUUUGAGGUGGCACUCUUCACCAUCAUCUUCCUCAAGAGUAGCGAGCGUGUUACUAACACUAUUGUCAAAGUGGACAAGUACUUGCUGGAGAUUGUGGUGUGCCGACAUGGAGGUGCCAUUGGAACUUCCUAGCCCAAACUACUCGACCAAACACCAGGGAUUUGUAGUUUUCCUUCUAAACAGUUUAAGAAGAUUUAAGUUUCUUCCAUAUAGCCUUAUCGGCAUCAUUUUGAUAGUUUCAGAAAGCAACAUUUAGUCAAUUGGAAUUUAGUCAAUUGGAAUUUUUUACAUGAUAAACUGUUACUGACCCGUACUAUAGUGCUAUUUUCAAAAAAAUGUUUACAAACUUUAUAACCAAGUGGCUAUCUGAAUAAACUGUUACUCAUAUAUAGUUCAUUAAAAUACAGGAAUUACACAUCUGUAAUCCUUAAAGCUGCCACUACAUUUUUUUUGUAUAAUUAGUUGUAUAAUGUCCCAUGUUUAUUUAGUUUAAAAGCAAAUAAAAAUAUAGUAAGUUGUAGCCAUGUAUAUUUGCUUAUUGUGGUGUCUAAAUUUAUAGUGAACUGUUUAAUACCACUUUAUAACCUAAGAAUGCUAUUAGGUAGAAAAAUGCAUAUUGCUGUUGGUUCGGCAUGUAAUUUAGAUGUUCAGAAUGUCUAUCUAUAUUUUUAAAAAAUAAUAAUAAUAAACUGAAUGUGUCAUUAAAAUGUAAACAUUUCAAGUUCAA